AGAGUUUGAUCCUGGCUCAGGAUGAACGCUAGCGACAGGCUUAACACAUGCAAGUCGAGGGGCAUCGGGGCGAGGAGCAAUCCUUGCCGCCGGCGACCGGCGCACGGGUGAGUAACGCGUAUGCGACCUGCCCGUUGCAGGGGGAUAAUCGGGAGAAAUCCCGUCUAAUACCGCGUAACGCCGCGGGGCUGCAUGGCCCUGCGGCCAAAGGAAGCGAUUCCGGCAACGGAUGGGCAUGCGUGACAUUAGCUAGUUGGCGGGGCAACGGCCCACCAAGGCGACGAUGUCUAGGGGUUCUGAGAGGAAGGUCCCCCACACUGGUACUGAGACACGGACCAGACUCCUACGGGAGGCAGCAGUGAGGAAUAUUGGUCAAUGGGCGCGAGCCUGAACCAGCCAAGUCGCGUGAGGGAUGACGGCCCUACGGGUUGUAAACCUCUUUUGUCGGGGAGCAAAUUCCGCCACGCGUGGCGGAGUCGAGAGUACCCGAAGAAAAAGCAUCGGCUAACUCCGUGCCAGCAGCCGCGGUAAUACGGAGGAUGCGAGCGUUAUCCGGAUUUAUUGGGUUUAAAGGGUGCGUAGGCGGACUGUCAAGUCAGCGGUAAAAUACGGGGGCUCAACCUCCGCCCGCCGUUGAAACUGACGGUCUUGAGUGGGCGAGAAGUAUGCGGAAUGCGUGGUGUAGCGGUGAAAUGCAUAGAUAUCACGCAGAACUCCGAUUGCGAAGGCAGCGUACCGGCGCCCAACUGACGCUGAAGCACGAAAGCGUGGGUAUCGAACAGGAUUAGAUACCCUGGUAGUCCACGCAGUAAACGAUGAAUACUAGCUGUCCGGGGCGAAUGAGCCCUGGGUGGCACAGCGAAAGCGUUAAGUAUUCCACCUGGGGAGUACGCCGGCAACGGUGAAACUCAAAGGAAUUGACGGGGGCCCGCACAAGCGGAGGAACAUGUGGUUUAAUUCGAUGAUACGCGAGGAACCUUACCCGGGCUCAAACGGGGAGUGACUCAGGCAGAGACGCCUGUUUCCCACGGGACACUCCCCGAGGUGCUGCAUGGUUGUCGUCAGCUCGUGCCGUGAGGUGUCGGCUUAAGUGCCAUAACGAGCGCAACCCCCGCGUGCAGUUGCUAACAGAUAACGCUGAGGACUCUGCACGGACUGCCGGCGCAAGCCGCGAGGAAGGCGGGGAUGACGUCAAAUCAGCACGGCCCUUACGUCCGGGGCGACACACGUGUUACAAUGGCAGGUACAGCGGGAAGCGACCGAGCGAUCGGCAGCGGAACCCGAAAACCUGUCUCAGUUCGGAUCGGAGUCUGCAACCCGACUCCGUGAAGCUGGAUUCGCUAGUAAUCGCGCAUCAGCCAUGGCGCGGUGAAUACGUACCCGGGCCUUGCACUCACCGCCCGUCAAG
rnacentral:rRNA from 1 species